ACAUCACAACUGUCAGUACCCGGCGAGAUAUGAAGCGGAAAACAUGAACAACGAAGAGCAACCCUUCAGUUGGAUAUUACCGUUGGGUUUGACACGGACUGUGAUGGAUUCAGCAUAACCUUAAGGAUUGCUUUAUCUCAUUUGGAUUCAGAAUGCUCCUCAAGGGCAAUAAGAAAUCUCUUAUUUCAAGAAAGGGUUCUAAAGCAAUAUUGUUUCCAACUUGAAGGGGGCGAUCGCUCCCAGUCUACGUUCACCGACGCUAAAAAAA